UACGUAGGUGGCAAGCGUUGUCCGGAUUUAUUGGGCGUAAAGGGGGCGCAGGCGGUUUCUUAAGUCUGAUGUGAAAGCCCACGGCUCAACCGUGGAAGGUCAUUGGAAACUGGGGAACUUGAGUGCAGGAGAGGAAAGUGGAAUUCUCAGUGUAGCGGUGAAAUGCGUAGAUAUUGAGAAGAACACCAGUAGCGAAGGCGGCUUUCUGGACUGUAACUGACACUGAGGCACGAAAGCGUGGGUAGCAAACAGG
rnacentral:rRNA from 1 species